rnacentral:rRNA from 1 species
UGACACAGCUUACAGCCUGAUUACGCCUGCUCGGAAGCUAAGCGGGGCUGGUCCUGGAUAGUAUUACAUGGACGACCAGCGGGAGAUAACAGGUGCCAUUUUGC